GAUCCUGGCUCAGGACGAACGCUGGCGGCGCGCCUAACACAUGCAAGUCGAGCGAAGCGCUUGCGAAUGAUCCUUCGGGUGAUUUUGCUGGUGACUGAGCGGGCGACGGGGUGAAGGUAACGCGUGGGUAACCUGCCUCAUACAGGGGGAUAACAGUUAGAAAUGACUGCUAAUACCGCAUAAGCGCACAGUACCACAUGGUACGGUGUGAAAAACUCCGGUGGUAUGAGAUGGACCCGCG
rnacentral:rRNA from 1 species